CACAAAUUGGAGAAGGAGCUCGGCUGAAAAAACACUUCAGAGGUUACAAUGUUGUUCAAACAUUCAUACAUAGGGCGUUGUUGGCGGCGUAAAAUGUCGGAACUAAUGAG